UGGUGGAGUGAUUUGUCUGCUUAAUUGCGUUAACGAACGAGACCUUAACCUACUAAAUAGGUGAUAUGAUGCAAUCAUAUCUUUCUUCUUAGGGGGACUUCGCGUUUUUAGCGCGAGGAAGUUUGAGGCAAUAACA
rnacentral:rRNA from 1 species